UCAACGUCUCUCCAUCUUUUUGUUGUCCUCCUCGAUCACUGCCUCUUCUCUUUUUUCUUUUACUUUGAUUGUCGUUGUUUCUUUGAGGACGAAGCUUUGUUGCUUCUCAUAGCCGUUCCCCCAGACCUCCUCAUCGAAGCUCCGCCAUCACCUCAAAUCUGCUCGUUGAAAUAUGACGUUGCCCCAUAUUUGCUUUAUCAUGUUCAAAGUAUCUUGCAAGGGGUGGAGCAACUGAAGAAAUCAUGAUUGUUCUCCCAUUUUUUUGCUAUGAUGGCUUGUUGCGACUUGAUGAUACAAGAGAUGCAUCCAAGGACAACUCUCUGAUGCUAGAUCCAAAUGAGUAUGGUCAAAAUGACAUUGAGCCUCGCUAUGCUGCCCCGCUGGUAAAACUUACUUUAAGUAGGUAGCAGCUAGCCUUGGCCACUUGCCCCAUGGGUAAUGUGCUUGCAAGUAUAUUCUCCAGACCAAAUUGUGUAAGAGCAAUAAUAGCCAAAUGCAAGAGGAACUUCAUUUGGAAUUAGUGUCAAGUGUUGGUUUAGUAGCUACGAAGAUGGCGCCCAGCGAAGAGUCUUGUGUAUAAAUCGC